GAACUCUCUCAAGUGCUGGAAACAGUCCGAGGGCUGUUCUUGAAAGCGCAUUCUCUGCCGGGCUUAGGCGGUCACAAGACUUGGACAUCCAUGUUCAAAACCAUCCGCACGGCAAUUAGCCGACACAGGUCAGUUUCUAGCCCGUCGGCCACUGAGAAACACCCCUGCCUUCAACAGGUCUCGCAACUUUGGAAACUUAGUUCACAUACAGUUGCGAGCAUUGGAUAACCUCCCUUUCCCCAAAUGGAAACCUCAGCAUUACUCUCUCCUAUCCAAAUUCGACAUUGUAACAUUGUUUUUCCUAAACAGGUAUAAGGAGUAAAGUGGUGUUCUUAGCCCACAUUCAGUGAUGGUUUUAGACUUAACGGAUGGUUGAUGUUGCAAGGAGGGGCACAUGCCAAACGGAGCGAACAGCAGUGGAAGAACUUAAACCAAAGAUGUCAACAGUUGCCUACCACCCACUCGAAAUCGAUUGUAUUACCUUCAAGAAGCUCGCUGAACGUAUAAAACGGGACGCAUGAUAUCAAGACUCAGAAGACUUGCUGCAGACAACGGAAUCUUCUCCCAAAACGCGAAACAACUGACAACGUCUAGAGAGAUUUGAUACAGACCACUCGCGUCCACUUUUUAGGACAUAAGCCUCCUUUAAUACAUUAAACUAGAAUAGCCAUGCAGGCAGUGAGAAAAUGCCACAUACUGUCCAGUUUAUUCCUUCUGCUGAUCAGCUCGGGCCAGUGCAUGGACAGCAAGGAGGUGAGGCAGAAAGAGAGAAGGAUCCUGCUGGACCAUAUCUUACAGGUUAACGGAGACAGCCAAUGGGGGGACAAGCCUUCAGUCUCCAGUCGCUAUAACAGUGGUCUCUUCCCCGCAGCCCAAGACAUGAACUUCUCCUCUGGAGAAAAGCCUUUAUAUGUUCCUAGGCUGGAUAACAGCAAACCCAUAGAUAAUGUCCCAAGAGAUAUAAACCUGAAAGACAAGUUCAUAAAGCAUUUCACAG